GACAUGGAUUCUCCUAGGCCGUUUGGGUGGCAGUAUCUUCAAUUGCGCACGAAAUACCGAGAUUUCCCCAUGGGCAUCGAUUCCACCCGUCUCGGUUGGAUGGCCGUGCUUCGUUGGAAAGCAUGGAUCCGCCUAGGCUGUCCCGGUUGUGAGCUA
rnacentral:sRNA from 1 species